GCAGCCUUAGUCCUUAGCCCGGGCUCCACCCACUUUCUUUGAAGUAACAUACUGCAAGGCCUCAGCUGGACCCAGCAGACUGCAAAGCUAUAAAGAAGCCUGAACUAGCAUUUUUAGGUGGAAUUUCACUGGGGUCUAUGAAAAAUCGUUGUGAAAGAAUUCCAAGGGAGCUGAAAGAAGUACAUAAAGGAUAUGCAGUUCCAAAGAGCUGCCAACUUAAAUUGCAAAUGGUAAAAAGGAUUACAGCUAGAAGGAUCAGUUUCUGAGAAAACAGAAGUGAUGGAUGUUGCCGGAAUAUUAGAUAAAGAGGCUACAAGACAAAGAGAUGCUACUAAAGGCCACAAGAAAAUCACUAGAACUGAAUGUGGAUCCAAGCAGGAAUGGAAGACAGAAUCUAGAUGGGCUGCAUAAUAGGCAUCACUAGUUCCAAAUAUCUUCAUCAUUGCUUAGGAAACCAUUGUGACACAGCAGCAUCAAUGAUACAGGCAAAAUUCUCUGUUGUCUUGGUCAAGUCAGAGAAAUUAUGCAUGCGCCUCAUUUUGAUGCCAUUUAUAUGAAAAUAUUACGAGAAAAGAUGGCGAUGGUAUUCAAGUUGUUUGAAACUGUUGCUCAGUGGCAGAACAUGUUUUGCAUUAAGAAAGUCCCAGAUUCAAUCUCUGUCAUCUCCAGACGUACAUUCACAGCACAAAACUCGCAAAAUGAUGCAUUAGAAAAAAAGAUAACAGCACACCUCUCUGCCAUGGAGUGUUCCUGGCCUCACAACUAAAAUAACAGAUGUGCAUUACAGCCAACUAGCUCAGCUAUCUCUUGCUUCAACUCCUAUGCUUCUGGUGGCUUCUUCUUUUGAAAAGUGAUGCAUAUAAUAUUAAAGCGUUUGCUCACUCAUUUAUCAAAAAAAGAGAAAAGUGCAAAACUACUCCAGCAACAGGAAGAACCUUUGAUGACAUCAUAGGAGGCAUCCAAUCAGCACAGGGCACAGGUCUCAACCCUGGAGAAGAACGGGUACGAUUAAAGUGAAGACAGGGAGCCCACUUGCAAUCUAGCCCCACCACUCUAUGCCUGCUAUGUCUGCCUUCUUCCCAAGUCUCCCCCCUCCCACUAUUGUC